rnacentral:tRNA from 1 species
GGGCCUGUGGUCUAAUGGUAUGACACUCCCUUAGCAUGGGAGAGGUCCUGGGUUCGAUUCCCAGCCGGUCCA